AUCCAACUGAUUAGUCCUAAAUAGGAUGAAACGCUUGUCAUGGAU
rfam:Schistosoma rodhaini strain Burundi genome assembly, scaffold: SROB_scaffold0018901